rnacentral:rRNA from 1 species
UAGGGAAUAUUGCACAAUGGGGGAAACCCUGAUGCAGCGACGCCGCGUGAGUGAUGAAGGCCUUCGGGUCGUAAAGCUCUGUCGUAUGGGACUAACAAAAUGAAGGUACCAUGCAAGAAAGGAUCGGCUAACUUCGUGCCAGCAGCCGCGGUAAGACGAGGGAUCCUAGCGUUGUUCGGAAUUAUUGGGCGUAAAGCGGGUGUAGGCGGACUUAUAAGUCAGGUGUGAAAUCCCAGGGCUCAACCCUGGAAGUGCACUUGAUACUGCAAGUCUUGAGUGUGGUAGAGGCUAUUAGAAUUCCUGGUGUAGUGGUGAAAUACGUAGAUAUCAGGAGGAAUACCGGAGGCGAAGGCGGAUAGCUGGGCCAACACUGACGCUGAGACCCGAAAGCGUGGGGAUCAAACAGGAUUAGAUACCCUGGUAGUCCCUGAGCGGGCUGGCAAGGCGCAU